rnacentral:snRNA from 1 species
UGGAGUGGGGAGUGGCAUCUAGCAACAGCAUCUGUCACCCCAUAAUCAACAGGAUUGAUGAGUCUGAUGAAGUUGGCGAGGCAUGUGUCUAUCUCCUUCCUCCCUCACCAUUUAACGUGUGUCCUGCCUAAUCUUCAUGCUGGGUUGCAAUCCUUUACGGAUGAGGAGAGGUUUUUUGGCCAAGGGUAUGAGUAGCUGUGCUCCCCUUACAGAACUUCCAAAGAAGAGUUUAACUCAACACUAUUGACACUUUGUGUCAAAUAAUUCUUUGCUGGGGGAGGGGUGGGUUUUGUU